AGCUGAGCAUGGCAUAGUGGUUUGAGUGUUGGUCCACAACUCUGGAGACAAGGGUUCAAUUCCCCACUCGGUUA